CACCUCACCUAACUAGUUUUCUACUUUGCACUUUGCUAUGUCUGAUGACCUGCAACUGUACGUAAGUGAAAUUACCCAUGAGUCAGUAUGCUGCGGUAGCUUUGGAUGUGGAACACUAGGACUGGACUGUUGAUACCGUAAUGGCACAUUUGGUGUAGAGGCAAGCAGAAUCCAGGGAAAACUUUAGGGAACAGGCAAAGACGUACCAAACCAUAGCUGACCCACAGAACACACAUAUAUACCAAACCACAGCUCACAUAUUUAUUAUGUAUAUAUAUAUAUAUAUGUGUGUGUGUGUGUGUGCGCAUAUCUGUGACACACAUGCUAUGCAAAUCAUCUCUCUCUUAGACACACACUUGCACACAUGUGCCCAUGCACACAUAUAUAUGCAUAUAUAGGUCUUGUGUGAUGUGUUAACACCCGUGUGAGCAUAUAUAUACCAAACAUUGCUGGCACGUGUGUUUGCUUGUGUGCAUUUCAGCUAUGGUUUGCUAUACAUAUGUGUGUAUUUGAGCUAUGGUUUGGAUUUAGGUGGAGGAUGUAUAACUUGGGCUGCUAUCUAGAAAGGCCGACUUAAAGCCAAAAGCAGGCAUCAGCGAGUGGACAAGCACAGUAAAAUAAGUUCCACAUGAUGACAACAGCGCUGACAUGCUGCCUCAUUUUCUUUACUGGGACCUAAUUGUGCUUUCCCUUCAUCUUUGCCCUAGUUUGUCUUUUGAUGCUUGUUGUAUUCAUUUAAGAAGAAACAUGCCUAACUUCCGUAUGAAACAUUAGUUCCUUUGCCUACCAAGCACAAGGGUGGUGGCUGACAA